rnacentral:miRNA from 1 species
AUAGGACUUUAGUUUAGUUAAGGU